rnacentral:rRNA from 1 species
UACAGAGGUCUCAACCGUUGUUCGGAUUCAUUGGGCGUAAAGGGUGCGUAGGCGGUUCGUCACGUCGGCUGUGAAAUCCCGAGGCUCAACCUCGGGUCUGCAGUCGAUACGGGCGGACUGGAGUACUGCAGGGGAGACUGGAAUUCCUGGUGUAGCGGUGAAAUGCGCAGAUAUCAGGAGGAACACCGAUGGCGAAGGCAGGUCUCUGGGCCGAUACUGACGCUGAGGAGCGAAAGCGUGGGGAGCGAACAGG